AGCGAAGGAGCCACACCUUCGUUCCUGGACAGGAUCCAGCAGCUAAGCAUGGCGGAGGAAGGGGGCCUGGUGGAGAGGAUGGAGUCCGAGGGUAGUGAUGAGGCUGAAGAAGACAGGUCCCAACUGGUGGUUUUGGACCCAGACCACGUAAGGAGAUGUGCUGGGAUUUGCUUUGGCCUCACGCAGACCAAGAGGGACUUAGAGACCCCCCUGCACCUGUCCUGUAGGCCUGCCCUGCCCUGCGCCUCCACACUCACAUCUUUGUGGCGGGGGCUUCCUGGGCACUGUAGGAUGCUGAGCAGCAUCGGUGGGCCUCCACCCACUAGGUCCACUGCCUUGAGCGUGCUUUCUGGAGUAAGAAUCCCAGGCAGAAGUGGGGUGCCCAGUGUGGAAGUCAUCUAUUCCCAGCCCACCCCCAGUCUACACCCUGGAGGGAACAGGAUGCCUCUGAUGAUAAGAUUCCAGGCUGCCCUGAAGAACUACCUUAACCGGCAGAUAGAGAACGUGAAGCUGGAGCUUCAAGAGCUGGGCGUGGCCACCAAGCAAAGCCGAGUCCAGCGGCAGGAGCUGGGGGUGGACCUCUACGGGGUCCAGCAGCACCUGGCCCGCCUACAGAUGCAGCUGGAGAAGAACCAUGACCGCCACUCGAUCGCCGCCUGUGCCAGGCGGCAGAAGGAGGAGGAGCUUCAGAGCGUGCGCUUGCUCUACGCCCGGACCUGCGAGACUGCCAACGAGGAGCGCAAAAAGCUGGCGGCUCUGCAGACGGAGAUGGAGACCCUGGCUCUGCAUCUCUUCUACAUGCAGAACAUGGACCAGGACGUGCGGGAUGACAUCCUCAUAAUGAAGCACGUUGUGAAGAAGUCAGAGGCUGAGCGCUCUCGGGCCGAGUUGGAGAAGCAGCAGCAGGACCUGCACGUGGACCAGCUCACCACCCGAGCCAACCAGCUGGAAGAACAAACCGCGCUGUUCGAGGCUCAGUACCACGCGCAGGUUGAGGACACCCGGAUGCUCAGGAAAGCAGUGAACGAGGCCUGCAUGGAAAUUGACACCAUCAACGUGGAGAAAAAGCGCAUCCUGCAGCAGUGGGCCACCAGCCUGGUGGGCAUGAAGCACCGCGAUGAGGCUCACAAGACCAUCCAGGAGGCGCUCAGCGAAUGCCAGCAUCAAGCCAAGUCCAUGGACGGUGAGCUCGAAGCCUAUAAGAAAUCCAUCGUGAAGGAGGAAGAAAAGAACGAGAAACUGGCCAGCAUCCUGAAUCGGGCAGAGACGGAAGCCAGCCUGAUGCAGAAACUGACGGCGCAGUGCCUGGCCAAGGAGGAGGCCCUGCAGAACGAGUUCAGCACCUACAGGCUCACCCUGCUGGACACAGAGGACGCGCUGGGCAAGGCCCAAAUGGAAUACGCAGCCACCAUGGGCGAAUUGCAGACUCUCCACCAGACCAUCCAGCACGAGCUGGAGCUGAGGAGGAAGAUGGAGGCCUCCAUUGUGGAGAAGCUGCAGGAACACAUGACCUCCAACAAGAUGACCAAGUACUUCCACCAGCUCAUCCUGAAGCUCCAGAAGGAAAAGACCAACCUGGUGACACAUCUUUCCAAAAUUGACGGCGACAUUGCUCAGGCCACCCUGGACAUGACAAACACCAGCUGCAGGCUGGACAGGCAUCAGAAGACGCUGGCCGAGCUGGACGAGGAAGUGAAAAAAGUCAACGACCUCAUCGCCAACAGCGAAAAUGAAAUCUCCAGGCGCACGAUCCUGAUUGAGAGAAGACAAGGCCUCAUCAACUUUUCCAACAAGCAGCUGGAGCAGAUGGUUUCUGAGCUUGGGGGGGAAGAAGUGGGGCCCCUGGAGCUGGAGAUCAAGAGGCUGACCAAGCUGACGGAGGAGCUCAGCGCCAGUGUGACCAGGGCCCAGGUGACCUGGCUCCGGCUGCAGCAGGAGAUGGUGAGGGCCACACAGGAGCGGGAGGAGCAGCUGGCCUCCCUGGACAUGUCCAAGAAGGAGAUGCACAUCCUGGAGCAGAAGAAGAUACGAACAGAGAACAAGAUCGACCAGGAGAAGAAGGAGCAGAAGGAGAUCCAGCGCCACAUGAGGAACCUGGACAGCGACCUGAAGAAGCUCAACGUGCUGAUGAACAGGAGCCGGUGCAGCUCGGAGGACCUGCAGCAGGAAAACCUGGCGACGGAGAACGAGUUCCUGCGAGCGCUCAAGGCCUCGGAGCGCGAGACCAUCGAGCUGCAGGAGAAGCUGAACCAGCUCAGCGAGGAGAAGGCGGCCGUGCUCAACAGCCUGGUGGAGGCCGAACACCAGAUCAUGCUUUGGGAGAAAAAGAUCCAACUGGCGAAAGAGAUGCGUGCCUCCGUGGACUCGGAGACGGGGCAGACGGAGAUCCGGGCGAUGAAGGCCGAGGUCCAAAGGAUGAAGGUCAAGCACAGGCAGCUGCUGAAGCAGCAGGAGAAGAUGAUCCGGGACAUGGAGCUGGCCGUCGCCCGCAGAGAAACCAUCUCCACCCGGGCCGAGGGGCAGGGCAAGCUGGACAAGAGGCUGCUCACCCAGACGGACUUCCACCACCAGCAGGCGGAGCUGCGCCGGAAGGUCAGGGACAUUCACAAGGCCACCGAGGAGUGCACCAAAACCAUCCUGGAACUGGAAGAAACUCAGAGAUCCCUGAGCGAGUCCCUCGUGGAGAAGCAGGAGCAGCUGUCAAAGAUGCAGUCCAAGGCCGACGAGCUCGAAGCCGACCUGGACCGGCUGGCGGCCCUCAAGCGGCAGAACCUUUCCACCCUCGUGGCCCUGCAAACGCGCCUCAAGCACCUGCAGGCCGUGAAGGACGGGCGGUACGUCUUCCUGCUCCGCAACAAGCAGUCGCUGCUGUCGGAGCUCAAGCGUCUGGAGGACCGGCUGGGCAGCAUCAACAACAUCCUCCACCACGUGAAGGAGGAGUACCCGCAGUUCCAGGGGGCCCUGCUCAAGGUCAGCCAGUCCAUCACCAACGGGCUGGGGUCCCCUGGGCCCUAGAGAGCGCCUGGGCACCCCUCUUCCAGGCGGGCCCCCAAGGAAGGGAUCAGUUUUGUGCAUUGUCGGGGACUUUGAAUACGUUUGUCUGUCCCUGCUUUACUGAAAGUCACCGCUGCCCUCAGAGAAUGACGCCACUUAAAAAAAUACGCCAGCGCUGUAGGAAUUGUUUGUUUAGCCACCCCGCUGUAUAAAUCAGGUCAAAUCCCAACGUUUCCAGUUCCAUUUUCCACAAGUAUUCCAUUUGCAAAGCAGACCCCCGUGCCCUCGCUGGGCUUACUCGUCCAAGGAAAACGGGAAACCAGGUCUCUGUUCCCGCCCCACUCCCAGCUUGGGUUAAAUCCAGAUGCCCAGCUCACCGGAGCAAGUCCGGAGGACGUGAAGCCCUAGCGGAGUCUGCAGGGCCUGACGUCUGCGAUUAGACCGUGCAGGUGCAGGAACACAGACCUCCUUGUCUGUGUCGGGUCCCCACCACCCUGGUCCACCCCGGGCUCCUCCUCCCACGCUCCGACUCCUGAACCCCUGCUGCCUAUGGCUUCUUCGAGGGCUUAAGGGGAAAGGUAAUUUUACAAAGUAAUUUUAAACUUUUCAGCAGGAAAAUAAAGUUUUUUU
rnacentral:lncRNA from 1 species